GCUUUUGAGAGGGAAGGACCUGGCUGUCUGGGAACUGAGCAGGGACCUGAGGACUUCAGCUGCUUCAACUCCUGGAGGGAAACCAUGGCUGCUUUCGUACUAAAGAAACAGCCAGUUAACUUCAAAGGAUAUUGAAAGCUAAAGGAAGAGCCAGAAUCAGCUACUUCUCUUGCAUUUGCCACU